rnacentral:rRNA from 1 species
GAUCGGCCACAUUGGGACUGAGAUACGGCCCAGACUCCUACGGGAGGCAGCAGUAGGGAAUUUUGCGCAAUGGACGAAAGUCUGACGCAGCAACUCCGCGUGAGGGAUGAAGGCCUUCGGGUUGUAAACCUCUGUUGAGUGGGAAGAAAAAGCUUUUUGCUAAUAUCAGAAAGCCAUGACGGUACCACUUGAGGAAGCUCCGGCUAACUACGUGCCAGCAGCCGCGGUAAUACGUAGGGAGCAAGCGUUGUUCGGAAUCACUGGGCGUAAAGGGAGCGUAGGCGGGAAAGUAAGUUAGAAGUGAAAUGUAUCGGCUCAACCGGUAAACUGCUUUUAAUACUGCUUUUCUUGAGUAUGGGAGAGGAAGAUGGAAUUCCAGGUGUAGCGGUGGAAUGCGUAGAUAUCUGGAAGAACACCAAUUGCGAAGGCGGUCUUCUGGCCCAAUACUGACGCUGAGGCUCGAAAGCUAGGGGAGCGAACAGGAUUAGAUACCCUGGUAGUCCUAGCCGUAAACGAUGGACACUAGAGGUUGGAUUCAAUUUAUUGUUUUCAGUGUCGUAGCUAACGCAUUAAGUGUCCCGCCUGGGGAGUACGCUCGCAAGAGUGAAACUCAAAGGAAUUGACGGGGGCCCGCACAAGCGGUGGAGCAUGUGCUUUAAUUCGAUGCAACGCGAAGAACCUUACCUGGUCUUGACAUGGGAGUGAAAACCACUAGAGAUAGAGGAAUUUCCUUCGGGAACACUCCACACAGGUGCUGCAUGGUUGUCGUCAGCUCGUGUCGUGAGAUGUUGGGUUAAGUCCCGUAACGAGCGCAACCCCUAUCCUUAGUUGCCAUCAGGUUAUGCUGGGAACUCUAGGGAGACUGCCUGGAUUAACCGGGAGGAAGGUGGGGAUGACGUCAAAUCCUCAUGGCCCUUACGACCAGGGCUAGACACGUGCUACAAUGGGCGGUACAACGGGAUGCCAGACUGUGAAGUUCAGCUAACCCCUUAAAACCGUUCUCAGUUCGGAUUGGAGUCUGCAAUUCGACUCCAUGAAGUUGGAAUCGCUAGUAAUCGCGGAUCAGCACGCCGCGGUGAAUACGUUCCCGGGCCUUGUACACACCGCCCGUCAAGCCAUGAAAGAUGGUAGUACCCGAAGUCGUUUUCCCAACCGCAAGGAAGGAUGCGCCGAAGGUAAGACCAUUAAUUGGGGCUAAGUCGAAACAAGGUA